CACAAGCAAGGCAGGAAGAAGAGGAAGAACAGAGAAUUUCCUAAAAAUCAAAGAAAUCCAAAUGCAGAGCCAAACAACAGCUGGAUACAAUAGAUGACAACCACUGACUUUUGAGAAAACAGCAGAACUUUCCAGCUUCCUGCUCUGAAGAAGCAAAGUACUGAGCAGUGGUUUAAUUUGAAUCAGCUUGCCGUGCUGAGAAGCUGAAGGCAAAACCUGCAGGCAGAGUGACCUCAGUGUCACUUUAGAGGAUGUGGAAGCUGAACCCUGAAGAUUAAGUGACUUUUUGGAAGAGAACCAGUAAAACUGGAGAAAGAGUCUGUGUUUGGGGGAAUUGGUAGAGUCUGGCUAAGAAGCAUUUCCGUGGCAUCCUCCAAAGUGGAGACAACAGAGCAUGGAAUUAGGGCAGUUGGUGCCGAUUUCUGGGCAGUCUGUAGAGCGGGGAGCCAAGGGCCCCAAAGUGUUAAUACAUUCCAGGAUAAGCUUGAAACCAAAGGUUAACAACAUUGAAGCUCAGAUAUGAAAUUAAUUCAAGGUCAUAAAGCUGGUGACCUAAGUGGAAACUGAACCUAGCUUUUUACCCCCAACAGUCAUUGUUCUGGUACAUAGGAGAGACAAAGAAUAAACAGAACCUAAACUCACUGGUAUUUUCACAUGUUCUUCCUAUUAAUACAAAAAAGCAAAAAAACAAACCAUGCCACCACGCAGAAGAAUUCUACAACUUCAUUUUCUGAUAACAUUGCAGGACCGACAAAAUCUAACCGCACCAAGCAUGCUCAAACAUUUCUCAGUAUUUGGUGAUUGCAAAAUUGGAUUUCAUUUGGAUCUCUUUGUGUUUGGCACCAAAAUGAUAACGUGAACGAUCAAGAACAAAGCUCUAUGCUUAUAUGGCAUUUGCUUUACUUGGCUAAAGGCAACCAGGUACAAAGGCAGAGUGGACAGUGGUCCCCCCCCCCAAUGGCCGCUAUGGCCUACGUACCUUGCUGAUCUGAAGCCAGGAGCCAGGUGCUUCUCCUGGUCUCCCAUGCGGGUGCAGGGCCCAAGGACCUGGGCCAUGCUCCACUGCCCUCCCGGGCCACAGCAGAGAGCUGGCCUGGAAGAGGAGCAACCUGGACAGAACCGGCGCCCCGACGGGGACUAGAACUCCAGGGUGCCGGCCCGAAGACAGAGGAUUAGCCCAUUGAGCCGUGGAGCCGGCCGAUCAGCAUGUUUUCUAACUUAAGUUCUGAAGAAAACCCAUCUGAUAGUCUCCCCCAGUUUUGCAGGGCUGAACAAGAAGCUGAAGUUAUCCACCUUUGGGCUGUAUGUCUCCAUCCUCAGUCCUGUUUGAAUACAUCUCAGGGAGUGACAAGAAAUACCAGCAUAACCUUGAACCUGGGGUUUUACGUUCCUUAAGGGGCUCUUAUUCAUCAGAUGUCAGCAGAGAGAGGAAAUGUGUUCCUGGUAAGUCAUAAUUGCAGCUCAGGACACAGAUCCUUGUGACAGCAUAUUAAAAUAAAAGGUUUUAAGAGAGAGAGAGAGAAAGAGAAGGAAGGAGAGGGGAAAGGGGAGGGAAUGGGAAGGGAAGAGAGGAGAACUCCUAUUUGCUGGUUUGGCUGGGCCAGAACAAAGCUAGGAGCCAGGAACUCAAUCACCCUCUGCCAUAUGGGAGGCAAGGAUCCAACCCCUUGCUCUAUCACCUGCUGCUUCCUGUGUGUGCAUCAGCAGGAAGCUGGAAUAGAGCAAUGGAGCUGGAACUCUAACCCAGGCACUCUGAUAUGCGACAUAAAUACUGUGCCAACAGCCUGGAUCUAAAAUUGAAAUUUUGGCCCAAAUCCCAAGAUGAUAAAUUCAAGUUUCAAAGUAAGUUGUCAGAUAAACCACACUGUUGAACUCACAAAAAGUACUUGGAUGAGAAUACGCUAGAGAACUCACAAUUCUUCCACACACUAAUGAACUCCAGAAGCAGAGAACUUGGGGAAAAUGACUUUGGAGAGAGAUAUUGUAUUUUAUAUUUAGCCAUCCUCCACAAGACACUGUGUUGUAGGGAAGGAUUAGGAGGGAGCUGUUCUCAUUUCAAGGCUGGUGAAAGGGACUUAAAAGGGAUCCUUUAGACAUGGAGAGCUUGACAUGUGUCCCUGAGUGUGGGCUACACAGAAACUGACCUGAACACAGAAAUUGACCUGCCUUAACAGAAGUCACUGUGUACUUACAUCCCAUGUGGGAUCUGUCCUUAAUGUGUUGUCUAAUGUGCAGUGAUGCUAUAACUAGUACUGAAACAGUAUUUUUACACUUUGUGUUUCUGCGUGGAUACAAACU